ACCAAAAUAAGCAACUCUAAAAAACAGAUGAUCGCAGCUGUGGCCCAGGAUGACAUCUAUUGCUAAGAUAUCUCACUUGUAUUUGUACACAAUGGUUAAAACUACNAAAAUGGGUGCUCACAGCAAAGUUCAGCC